GAUCCUGGCUCAGGAUGAACGCUAGCUACAGGCUUAACACAUGCAAGUCGAGGGGCAGCAUUGGAGUAGCAAUACUCAGAUGGCGACCGGCGCACGGGUGAGUAACACGUAUCCAACCUGCCGCUUACUCGGGGAUAGCCUUUCGAAAGAAAGAUUAAUACCCGAUGGUAUAAAGAGUUCGCAUGUUCUCUUUAUUAAAGAAUUUCGGUAAGCGAUGGGGAUGCGUUCCAUUAGAUAGUUGGCGGGGUAACGGCCCACCAAGUCUACGAUGGAUAGGGGUUCUGAGAGGAAGGUCCCCCACAUUGGAACUGAGACACGGUCCAAACUCCUACGGGAGGCAGCAGUGAGGAAUAUUGGUCAAUGGACGAGAGUCUGAACCAGCCAAGUAGCGUGAAGGAUGACUGCCCUAUGGGUUGUAAACUUCUUUUAUAAGGGAAUAAAGUGAGGGACGUGUCCCUUUUUGUAUGUACCUUAUGAAUAAGGAUCAGCUAACUCCGUGCCAGCAGCUGC
rnacentral:rRNA from 1 species